GAGCAGUCGUCGCCGCUCGGAAGUCUCCAGUUGCGCAAACCCCUCACGCCCUGAGACACAGAGGACCACGUGGAUCGUGUGCCACUCCUCCCCGGGCGCGAUCAACAACCAGGGAGCUAGUGAUUGCUCACCGGAGUCUAGAAACUGCGCCAAGCAAUUUUUCCAUCGUGAACCCGCUCGGUCGUCGCUUAAUCCUCCGGUGAGACACGUCCCACCGAAUUCACUUCUCAUCUGCUGCGGUUAACGCUUAUCGGAUCGGUGCGGAUACCCCGGGGUAGGGUUUUGGUUUACUCGGCAAUGGAUCGUCGCAGGUGUUGCGCUGCCGCCGUCCAGUCGGCCAGGGAAGAAGAAAGCUCUGGUGCCGUCUGAUCUCCUUUAGAUGGCUCAGAUUAGAUAUCGAAUACCCUUUCGCCCACUUUCGAUCUAAAUCGUAGAUCUACAAAUGGGCGGAUCUGAUCGUGACUUGCCACGUCCUUGAUUUGGGCUGGGGGAUCACGAUCCAACGGCCGAAAGCGCAUACCGAUUCAUAACCCCCGUCGAUCGAAUCGUGACCGUCCACUCAUGAUGUGGCGGCCAGGGUUUCUAGAUACCCCUUCGGCCCGACCUUUUUACUAAAGAGACCCCGAAUUUAUUUACAAUUAACCUGCCGUCCUUAGUAGUGAGAGAAUAAUUGAAGUUUAGUCCUGUUAUUUAUAAGUUAGCCCCCACGCUUUCCAGUAAUUCUGCGCGCAGUCCAGAGGGCUGGAAAAUAGGAUAAAACCAAUAUAGAAAAUAAUUUUAGUAUUAAAAUAAUUCCAAAAACUUGUUUAAAUCAUAGUAAACUCAUUUUAAUUUCUUUUUGACCCAUUCUAGUUGCUAUAAUCUUGUUUUAAUAUUUUUUAUCACCUGGUAACUCUGUUUUGUCAUGAAACAUAGGCUAAAAUUAUUCAUUUAGUUUAAUCUAUACCAAUCACUUAAUAACUUCAGAAAAUUGUAACUCGAUAAUCGUAACUCCAAAUUUAGUGAUUCUUGUUCCUGCGAUCUCGUUAUGAUGCGUAGAAUAUUAUUAUGCAGUAGGGUCUCAUGUUUGGUGUGAUGUUAAUUUCUCCUGUACCAUGUUUGUUUGUAUUGUUGGCAAUAGACGAGCAAGCCACUGAGGACCCCGGUGUUCAACAAGUGGAUAAUUCUGAGCAAGAGGUCGUUGAAGGCAAGUUGUGCCCUUGACCACUUUUAUUUACCCAAUAAUGUUCUCUCUAAUCAUUAUGGCAUGAUUAGGCUUAAUUUUGAUGGGAACCCAAUAGGUCACCCUAGUAUGCUUUAUCUUGUGCCUUGAUCACCACUGAACUUUUUGGGUAGUCUUGCUAGUGCUAUAUGUGCUUUUGGGUGUUGAGAUAAAUUUGGCACAUGAUCAUUCCUUAUUAUUACUAUUUAUUAUUUAUUGUUCAUGAUAAGAUUAUUGUGUUAAUUGGAACAUGGAGAACCACCUGGGAAAACAGUGCUACCACAAGGGUGGAAUGGGACACCCUUGGCCAAGUAACAUUGCUUGGCCAAGUAAAAGCAAUGCUCAGCUUCAACCAUUAUUUAUUGAUCAGCCUUACAUAUCACAUGGGCUCACACCUUUGGUGAGUUCAUGCACAUUAUUCCCCACAACUUGUUGAGCUAUGAUCUUUUGUGAGCUUACCCUUAUGAUAUAUAAACCCCCACAAGAGAAGAACGGGUGGUCCAGGAGGAGCCUUACAAUGAAGAGUACGAGCUUAUCUAGGUGGCGUCUCCUAGUCAGCUUGAUGGCGCCAAGAAAUAAUACUUAGUUCUCUUUAUUGUUCUCAUUUAUUUUUAUAAGACUUCCGCUAUGUAAUAAUGAUACUUGUGACAUUUAUCUCUAUAUACUUUGUUAUUAUAUGUGGUGUACUUCUUUGGCGCACAUAUGAGAUGCACCCGGCUUUAUCCCUUAAAUCCGGGUGUGAUAGUUACCGGCCUGCUACACAAAGACACAGACCAGCCCUCCCCCACCCCCACUCAGCCACUCCCCAGCGCCAGAGGCCCAGCCCACAAAUGCCUUGUGCCCUCGCCCGUCGUGGCCAUAUAACCCUAACCCUAACGCCACUCUGCCCACUCGCUCCACUCCUAUUCUCACGCCUCUCCGCUUGGCGCUUGUGGCUCGCCUCUCGCUCAGUCGCUCUCGAUCUCUCCGCUGCGCUCUUGCAUCGCCUCUCA
rnacentral:lncRNA from 1 species